rnacentral:rRNA from 1 species
UACGUAGGGUGCGAGCGUUGUCCGGAAUUACUGGGCGUAAAGAGCUCGUAGGUGGUUUGUCGCGUUGUUCGUGAAAACUCACAGCUCAACUGUGGGCGUGCGGGCGAUACGGGCAGACUGGAGUACUGCAGGGGAGACUGGAAUUCCUGGUGUAGCGGUGGAAUGCGCAGAUAUCAGGAGGAACACCGGUGGCGAAGGCGGGUCUCUGGGCAGUAACUGACGCUGAGGAGCGAAAGCUAGGGGGAGCAAACAGG